rnacentral:rRNA from 1 species
GAUGAACGCUGGCGGCGUGCCUAAUACAUGCAAGUCGAGCGAACGGACGAGAAGCUUUCUUCUCUUCUGUUAGCGACGGGCGGGUGAUUACCACGUGGAUAACCUAUCUAUAGGGCUAGGAUAACUUCGGGAAACCGGAGAUAACACCGGAUAAUAUUUUGAACCGCAUGGUUCAUCAGAGAUAGCCGGUCUUGCUGUCACUUAUACAUGGAUCCGCGCUGCAUUAGCUAGUUGGUAAGGUAACGGCUUACCAAGGCAACGAUGCAUAGCCGACCUGAGAGGGUGAUCGGCCACACUGGAACUGAGACACGGUCCAGACUCCUACGGGAGGCAGCAGUAGGGAAUCUUCGGCAAUGGGCGAAAGCCUGACGCAGCAACGCCGCGUGAGUGAUGAAGGUCUUCGGAUCGUAAAACUCUGUUAUUAGGGAAGAACAGAUGUGUAAGUAAACGUGCACAUCUUGACGUUACCUAAUCAGAAAGCCACGGCUAACUACGUG